rnacentral:rRNA from 1 species
UACGUAGGGUGCAAGCGUUAAUCGGAAUUACUGGGCGUAAAGGGUGUGUAGGCGGUUUGUUAAGUCUGAUGUGAAAUCCCCGAGCUUAACUUGGGAACUGCGUUGGAUACUGGCAAACUAGAGUAUGUAAGAGGGGGGUAGAAUUCCACGUGUAGCAGUGAAAUGCGUAGAGAUGUGGAGGAAUACCGAUGGCGAAGGCAGCCCCCUGGGACAAUACUGACGCUGAGGCACGAAAGCGUGGGGAGCAAACAGG